UACGAAGGGGGCUAGCGUUGCUCGGAAUUACUGGGCGUAAAGCGCACGUAGGCGGCUUUGUAAGUUAGAGGUGAAAGCCUGGGGCUCAACCCCAGAAUUGCCUUUAAGACUGCAUCGCUUGAAUCCAGGAGAGGUGAGUGGAAUUCCGAGUGUAGAGGUGAAAUUCGUAGAUAUUCGGAAGAACACCAGUGGCGAAGGCGGCUCACUGGACUGGUAUUGACGCUGAGGUGCGAAAAGCGUGGGGGAGCAAACAGG
rnacentral:rRNA from 1 species